rnacentral:rRNA from 1 species
GACGAACCGUGCGAACGUUAUUCGGAAUCACUGGGCUUAAAGGGAGCGUAGGCGGGCUAUCAAGUCUGGGGUGAAAUCCCGCGGCUCAACCGUGGAACUGCCUCAGAUACUGACGGCCUCGAGGGAGAUAGGGGCAUGCGGAACUGUAGGUGGAGCGGUGAAAUGCGUUGAUAUCUACAGGAACUCCGGUGGCGAAAGCGGCGUGCUGGAUCUCUCUGACGCUGAGGCUCGAAAGCUAGGGGAGCAAACGGG